rnacentral:rRNA from 1 species
UACGUAGGGUGCAAGCGUUGUCCGGAAUUAUUGGGCGUAAAGGGCUCGUAGGCGGUCUGUCACGUCGGGAGUGAAAACUCAGGGCUUAACCCUGAGCCUGCUUCCGAUACGGGCAGACUAGAGGUAUGCAGGGGAGAACGGAAUUCCUGGUGUAGCGGUGAAAUGCGCAGAUAUCAGGAGGAACACCGGUGGCGAAGGCGGUUCUCUGGGCAUUACCUGACGCUGAGGAGCGAAAGUGUGGGGAGCGAACAGG